AUGCCCACAGAGUCCAAAACCAGCCCCAGUGUGUUCCCGCUGAGCCUCUGCCACCAGGAGUCAGAAGGGUACGUGGUCAUCGGCUGCCUGGUGCAGGGAUUCUUCCCACCGGAGCCUGUGAAUGUGACCUGGAAUGCCGGCAAGGACAGCACAUCUGUCAAGAACUUCCCCCCCAUGAAGGCUGCUACUGGAAGCCUAUACACCAUGAGCAGCCAGUUGACCCUGCCAGCCGCCCAGUGCCCUGAUGACUCGUCUGUGAAAUGCCAAGUGCAGCAUGCUUCCAGCCCCAGCAAGGCAGUGUCUGUGCCCUGCAAAGGCUCCAAUGCCAGCCUCACAUGCACACUGAGUGGCCUGAAAGACCCCAAGGGUGCCACCUUCACCUGGAACCCCUCCAAAGGGAAGGAACCCAUCCAGAAGAAUCCUGAGCGUGACUCCUGUGGCUGCUACAGUGUGUCCAGUGUCCUACCAGGCUGUGCUGAUCCAUGGAACCAUGGGGACACCUUCUCCUGCACAGCCACCCACCCUGAAUCCAAGAGCCCGAUCACUGUCAGCAUCACCAAAACCACAGAGCACAUCCCGCCCCAGGUCCACCUGCUGCCGCCGCCGUCGGAAGAGCUGGCCCUCAAUGAGCUGGUGACACUGACGUGCUUGGUGAGGGGCUUCAAACCAAAAGAUGUGCUCGUACGAUGGCUGCAAGGGACCCAGGAGCUACCCCAAGAGAAGUACUUGACCUGGGAGCCCCUGAAGGAGCCUGACCAGACCAACAUGUUUGCCGUGACCAGCAUGCUGAGGGUGACAGCCGAAGACUGGAAGCAGGGGGAGAAGUUCUCCUGCAUGGUGGGCCACGAGGCUCUGCCCAUGUCCUUCACCCAGAAGACCAUCGACCGCCUGGCGGGUAAACCCACCCACGUCAACGUGUCUGUGGUCAUGGCAGAGGUGGACGGCAUCUGCUACUAA